GAUGAACGCUGGCGGCGUGCCUAAUACACGCAAGUCGAGCGAACAGACGAGGAGCUUGCUCCUCUGACGUUAGCGGCGGACGGGUGAGUAACACGUGGAUAACCUACCUAUAAGACUGGGAUAACUUCGGGAAACCGGAGCUAAUACCGGAUAAUAUAUUGAACCGCAUGGUUCAAUAGUGAAAGACGGUUUUGCUGUCACUUAUAGAUGGAUCCGCGCCGCAUUAGCUAGUUGGUAAGGUAACGGCUUACCAAGGCAACGAUGCGUAGCCGACCUGAGAGGGGUGGUCGCCCCCCCGGAACCGAGACACGGGCCCGACCCCCCAGGGGGGCCGCAGUGGGGAAUCUUCCCCAAAGGGCGAAAGCCUUACGGGGCAACGCCGCGGGAGUGAAGAAGGUCUUCCGGUCCUAAAACUCUGUUUUUUGGGAAGAACAAAUGUGUAAGUAACUAUGCCCGUCUUGACGGUACCUUAACCGAAAGCCCCGGCUAACUACGUG
rnacentral:rRNA from 1 species